rnacentral:rRNA from 1 species
CCUACUGGUGGCAGCAGUGGGGAAUAUUGGGCAAUGGACGCAAGUCUGACCCAGCAACGCCGCGUGAAGGAAGAAGGCUUUCGGGUUGUAAACUUCUUUUAAGGGGGAAGAGCAGAAGACGGUACCCCUUGAAUAAGCCACGGCUAACUACGUGCCAGCAGCCGCGGUAAUACGUAGGUGGCAAGCGUUGUCCGGAUUUACUGGGUGGAAAGGGCGUGUAGGCGGGAGUGCAAGUCAGAUGUGAAAACUAUGGGCUCAACCCAUAGCCUGCAUUUGAAACUGUACUUCUUGAGUGCUGGAGAGGCAAUCGGAAUUCCGUGUGUAGCGGUGAAAUGCGUAGAUAUACGGAGGAACACCAGUGGCGAAGGCGGAUUGCUGGACAGUAACUGACGCUGAGGCGCGAAAGCGUGGGGAGCAAACAGGAUUAGAUACCCCUGUAGUC